GGAAAGAGUCAGAGAGAGCUAGUGGAGCGACAAGCAAAGUGAAGCGUAUUCUCCCUCCAAGAUCCGACGUUUGGCAGCACUACACAAGGACUACAGAAGACCGAAACAAGUGUGUUUGCAACUACUGUCAGAACACAUUUUCGUGUCUCACAACCUCAGGGACGUCCAAUCUAAGGAGCCAUCUUGAGAAAUGUAAGAGCCAUCUUGCUUGGUCGGCUGGACAAAAAGAUCAGCAAGCAAACAUUGAUGAUGAAGGGAGACUUAAGAAGGCAAAGUUGACUGAAGGUCAGUUGAGAGAAGCCACAAAUCAGAUGGUUGUCUUAGGAUAAUUGCCAUUAUCAUUCGUUGAAAGCGUAGCAUGGAAACAAUUUUGUCACAAGGUAAACUUUGGGUACACUCCUCAUUCAAGAAAAACUGCGAGAAAAGACAUUAACAAGAUGUAUGUGGAAAAGAAAGAUGCACUCAAGAAAUGGUUCUUGAGAAGCAAUCAAAGAGUGUCUUUGACAACAGAUAUUUGGGUCUCUCAAACAACCGGUGCGAGCUAUAUGGUCAUCACAGUGCACUACAUUGACCCUUUGUGGCAGUUAAAGAAGCUGAUCAUAGGGUUCAAACACAUCACGGAUC